ACUACUCAGUAAAGGACAAUUGACAGCAUCACACACUGGACUCUCCUCAACUUCAAAGGAAUAUGGACCAUGACCUGAUUGAUGAGAUGUUGAGUGUCCCUUGUGGUGGUGAAGCUCUCUGUCUGUAAUGAUCUGAAACCAAUGGCUGACUCGACGAGUCAAAGAGAUUUCGGCGAUUCGAAUUUUUGUGUGGUUUUCCAGAGUCAAUUUCAAGAAUCCCUGCGCUUCUUUCAUCAUCCAUGUUACAAGUCUUUGUCCAUGAUCUUCUUUGAGUCCACAUCGUUCUAUCUCUCGAUUGCCAAUGGGGACAUGGGAUCUAGAACCAUUUCUCUACAAUAAUGACAUGAAUGCUCUGAGGAGUUAAAUCGCUAAAUUUGUUGCCGGAAGAGUAAAACUAUAAAAAAAGACAAAAGGAAAAGAAUACGGAGUGAUGGUGACACCAUCACAAAAACGGAUAAAUCAAACCGUAACCCAGCCAAAACUCAGAACCAGAACCCUUUCUCCUUAUCUCCUCUCACCUCUCUCUCACUGCUCGGCCUUCCAGCGGCAUGUUGUUUCCCUAACUUUAUCUCCGCUGCGUGCUCCCCUGCCUCGCGUCAUCUCCUCCCUUGACGCUUUCCCGACAUGUCUGGUAUUUUCUAGCGGCACUGCUUCCUCUAUCCUUUGGCAGCAAAGAAACUUCUUAAAAAUUUGUAAGGAUACUUUAUUUGAUUUGCUUCUUUCAACCUUUCUCUCAUUAUAGCACUAGACAGUAGUUGACAUUGUUUGUCGACGAUAAUUCUUUCAAUCUUGUUAUUAAAGCUUGGUUGUUGUUGUGUGAUUGAAAUAUGAAAUUACUUAAUAGAAGAUAAGGAGAGAAAUAAUUCACAAUUGAAGUGGAGGCUAUAGGUCAUGUUAGACAUAAACAUAUUGUGCGUAUUGCAUAGAGGGGGUUAACAGGUACUUCUUUUUAGCAAAGCAAUAAAUUAUUUUAAGUUAUUAUAUGUGCUCUCACAACUCCUAAAUACAUAGUAUCUCUUUCUUUGUAUUAUCAAUAGCAUUUUUGUUUUAGUGUUUGUUUCAAUAUUCAGGCUGCUAGUGGAUGAAUAUGUGAAUAAUGGUAAUUUAGAGUAAUGCAUGCAUGUUGCCAUGGAACAAGGACACUUACCUAGGAGAUCCGCAUGAAAGUUGUACUCGACAGUUAUCUAGUACUCCUGUGAAAAUGUUAGAGAGCUAAUAAUGAUGUAUUUUGAUACUUGAUUUUGUAAUAGUUUAAAUUCCUUUAAUUCAGGAUAUUUGCUUUUCAACACUAUUACUUAAAUUUCAUAUUUUUAUUAUUAAAAAUAUUACUUAUAUGGAUGA